GGUGGUUCAGUGGUAGAGCGCUCGCCUCGCAUGCAAGAGGCCUUAGGUUCUAUUCCUCAGCACCA
rfam:Dipodomys ordii contig_71273, whole genome shotgun sequence.